CCCGCAGUGGCACCUGCUGUCGGGGCCGGGCAGCGCCGGGGUCUAAACGCCAUUUGCCAGCAUUCCGGGACCCUUUAGCACAGUCGCCCCACCACGCUCUGAUGGGAUUUCAGCUGGAUUGCGACCCCUCCCAGUGGGAGUUCCGCCUCCCUGAGCACCUGGCCCGCUAAGCGAAGGGACAAAUUUCUGCAGAGACACCUUCCCAGAGGCUCAGCAGACAGCUGUGCAGCACUCACUGGGAUGUCUGCGUGGAGACCUCAUUCAGAACUGUUAAAACCAGCAGACAUUCAGGCAACCAGACCAAGACUGGGAAUGCUAAAUGUUGCACACUCAAAACCAUAUGAGCAAAGCAUUUGUUUUCCCUCAAACCUAGGGAACAGCCUACUAAUAAAGCUACCCCAAGUGAAUUAAAAGAAGCUUUCUUGACCUAAAAGGAGCUAUUCUUUCAAAGCAUGUGGUUUUCCAGUGGAACACAUACAGGAAAGAUAUGAAUGGCUAGUUUUGAAGUGGAAAGACAAAAGAACUUAUUGAUAGCACAAGGGAAAAGGCACACACAUAGAGGGUGUGCAAGAAGUGUUUAAAGACACUUUCAGCAACUGGCAUUCAGACAUGAAGAAGAAAUUCUGCAGUAAGCACAGGAAUCCCAAAGUGCAGCACAGCGAGAGCUGCUGAGCAUCUUGUCAGCGGUGAGGUGCCUGUGUGCCGCAUGGCGAGGGGAUAGCUCUGCAGGGAACGAUGGGAGGCAGCAGUUUGGGUCUGCAGCUACUCCACACCAUUGUGCUCAUAUCUUAUGCUAAACAGCUGGAGACAGAACACAAAGGCAAUUUUUCCUAUUGCUCUGACACUCGGACAGAAGGAGCAACCCUGCGGGGUGUUCAGCAAAGAUGCCGCUCCUUCUACCCUGCCCCAGCAGGAGAUCCAUCUCCAUCCUGCCCGCCGGAGAUCCGUGCGCCCCGCAGCAGCGCCCGGGCUUUCCGCGGGCUCGCAGCUGCAUCCAACAGCAGAGGGAGCUCCGCGAGAGGAAGAGGAGCAGGCGAAGCUCGGCAGGAGCAGCCCCAGGAAGGAGGGAGGCGGGCAGGGGUGAACAGAGGUAACCGCAGGCUGCUCUGCUGCACCAGAAAGUUUCAGUGACAUUUUGAGAAACUCUGGUGCCACGAUUCACACCAGGAUGAAAGGAAAGCAGUGAAUAUGUCUUUGUGCACCCACUGGAAGCUGAUGGCCUUUUCUGCCGCACUUGGGAUGACAGCAAUACCAGCCAGCCACAUCACAGCCCCUACAAAGCCAGAUCGUGGCUAUGACUCUCUAGCCACAGAGAUCAGAGCAAGGAAAUAAAUAUAUUGGUCUUUCCAUCCCUUGUUCUCUGUGGUCCCGGGUGCAGCACAAGAGCAGGCAUGAUUCAUUCUACAGUCUCUGGGCAACCCAAGGGAAAAUCGCCUGCUAAUUUCAGUUUCUGAUGUCAGAACAUAUAAUUAACCUGACAAAGCAAAACGUUAUUUUAGGUUAAGGCAUGAUCAGACCUUCUUUCUCUCUCUACCUAUUUCUAAAUGGUAAUAAGUUGAAGGUGUUUGAGCCUGGGGGAGGUGUGUGUUUUGUGGUGGCUAUACAGUGUUGGCAGUUAAUUUGCUGCUCUUAUGCCCACUAAUACAUAAAAAUAUUACCAAUGCUUUCUCCAGUUAAUUUAUAUUCAAGUUAAAUGCAGAGAAAUCAAAUUAUUUGGACAUUAGAAUAGCCUUCUUCCCUGUCAUUGCAUGUGUGUGCAACACUCCUUUGUAUCAGUCUUUGGAACAGUAGAUGAAGCAGGUUUUAAAAUUAGCAUGCUGAAUGCCAUGGUGGCUGUGUGCAUAGGAAUACUUAGAAUCCUGAAGGUGUGAAUCCUGCACAGGAAUACUUAAAAUCUUGAAGGUGUAUAAUGUUAGAGUGGAUAGUGUGAUACUAGACUGACAGUGGAUAUCUAAUUCUAGAAGCUUUAGUGACUGGAAUACUUUAGUUCACUGUCAUUGUAUUUGAAAAAGUAUUGGGAAGAGGAUUUCAGGGGUGAAUUGUUGUUGCUAUGUUUUCCCUUGGGUAGAAUUGACAGAAUGGAGAAAUUGAUUUUGUUUGAUCUAUAAUAUGUACACAUGACCAACAGAAUGUGCUGCAUUUAAAGUAAGAAGAUUAAUAUAGCCCAUUUCAAGCAAAAUCAACUUCUUUUAGUGCUGUGUUGGCAAGUCUGGGUUCUGUAGGCUCCCAGGCACAAAAAACUCACAGCCCUUUUGCAGUUCUUGAGGUGGGAGAAGAGCUCUAGGUAUCUCUGGGUCCCUGAUUAAAGAGCUGAAUUUUAAAGUAAGAGUUCUAUAGUCUCCUCCUGUAGAAUGACUAUUGGUAUCUUUGCUCCAUGGUAAAAUAGGAAGGCAGAGAGAAAAUGCAGCAUGUAAGAUAUAAAUAUUACUCCCUUAUCCCUUUUUCUUUCCUGCUGUUUUUGCCUGGUAUUCCUCAAAUUUGGUAGUUUUUCAGUGCUUGGGGGUUUUUUGUUGUUGUUGGUUUUUUAGUUUUGGGUUUGGGUUUGAGUUUUUUUGGGGGAGAGGGGUUGUUUGUCUGGGUUUUUUUCUGAUCUAGUUAGAUGAGUCCUUAAUCUUUAGCCAUUUGAAUGACUGCAGAUCAGUCAUUUGCAGGCUCAAAGCAUUUUGGUCCCACAUAUGUUCUUUCUUUUUCCACCUGCUGCUCAAAAAGCUUUGCCUAGCUGUGCACCUCAUUACACCCUUGUGGCUAGGCUAUUUUAAGGAAACUUAUUCCAAAGGAAUAACAAAAUCAGCAAGGUCUAACUAUUGUAUCUGUGUGAUUGGGGAAGUAAAGGUUAAGUGCUAGCACAGGUACAGCUCAGCACUCCAAAGAUAACUGGCUUGCCAUUUCUUUAAAGGCCACCAUUGUCCUAGAUCCAGGUAGGGCACUUAGGUUUUGUGUCACUCCAUUUGCACAUGGAGCCACAGCCAUUUUACUGAGAAAGCAAAUUGAGAUCUGAAGGGGAAAGAAUGGCUUUCAGGCAUGAUUUGAAGAAAGAAAUAACAGACUGAAUUGUCCUGGGGAAAGCAGGGAAAUUGUUCCAGAGAACAAGGCUGGACAAAGUGUGACACCUGAAAGCUUCUUUUCUUAUCCUGCUAAUUCUGAUUAUGACAGGUUUUUAAUUUUUAUUUCCUAUUCAGUCUCCACGUUUAGCAUUUAGCAUUUGUGGAAAAGGUGGUGAGCAGAAGAGGCAGAGAUCAUAGAAACAGUAAAGUGCAAAAUUAAGAAAAUAGGAAGAGCUAAGUAGAUUAAGUGGACUGGCACAGACUAACCCCCCUCCCAGCCUGCCAGCUCUAAAGACCUGAAGGUACUCUACAUCUCAGCGAUUCCUGCCUGGGCUCUGAGUGUGCAGAUCCAUGUUACCAGCCACUCCACCUGACUGACACAGGCUCUAUCUUGUGCUAGCCCAGCAAUGCACAACCAUAUUUUUGCUUCUUCUAAAAUAUAGUCCUGCCCUGGUGACCUGCUGGGGAGAAGGGCAGGUUUGCCUGCAGGUCAGUUUAUGGCCUUCCUGCCAUGCCUCCCAUCUCAUAUGAUGCUGUGUUUUGUGACUUCAUAGUCCUUUAUUGAUAAGUACAGAAUGAAACAGAUUGGCCAUCUGUUUGUAUAUCCAUUGGAUGAAAUUUGAGAACUCAUGAAAACUAGGUCUUCUGUGUAAUCAGAAGCAGCCAGCAUGUGUUCCUGCCAUCACUUGAAAAACUUUUCUGAGCUGUAGUGUGAUAACACACACUGCUUGCAAAGCCCACCAUCAUGGCUGCUGCUCUUGUAUUUUGUUUCAAAAUACAAAGGUACUUACUAAGAAUGAGGCCUCAUCCCCCAAAUUUUUAAAAAGGGAACUGCACAUUGGGUGGCUAACAUAUUAUCACAAAUGAAGUAAAAAAACCAGUUGAGCACACUGUGGAAUUCUGGAUGUAAGUAGAAACUGCUGUUUAUCUGAAAGAGUCAUUCACGCCUUUUUUCAGCACAAAGUAAACAGUGAUUUUUUUUGUCCAUCAAGGAAGUUCAGAAGUUGGGAGAAUCCCAGCCAGAAUAGGUUGGCUCACAAGACCUCCAGGAGUCACUGUGUUUUUAGUAGAGGCUGUUGUUUGAAGGUGUUUGGCAGGUGUUUGAAGACAAGCAUAAUAGCAAAGUAUCUUCAGAAAAAGUGGUAACAUGGGUCUGAAUAAUUGGUUAUAAUGGAGUUAUAUAAUGGCAAAGAAAAUUGGUUAGCAGGAAUUUAAAAAAUAUAAUUGAUGGACUUACAAAUGACCCUAACAGGGACAGGGUUUUACAAUACUUUUUAUAUUGGAAAACCAUCUGUUUUUCUUCAAUCUCUUUGGGCUUGUCAGUAAAAAUGUAUCUAAAGGAGGAUUGUCUGAUUAUUUGAUUAGAUUUUCUGAAAGCUUUGGCAGUUUGUCCUAGUGGUGGGCCAGACUGGGCUGCAGCAGUCUGGUAGCACAGAAUCACAGCCUUUGGGCUUCUCCUUCCCUCUCCUCUCUGGAACAGCAGAGCCCUUGAGCCCCACACCCCACGGCUGGCUCUCCACGCAACAGGCUCUCCACAGCCAGCUGUGGGCACAUGCAGAGCAGGCCCUUGCCAGCAUCUGCAUAGCUUGGACGAUAAACCAGCUGCCAGCACAUCACCCAGUUGUGC